GAGAGAGAGAGAGAGAGAGAGAGAGAGAGAGAGAGAGAGAGAGAGAAUCUUAAGCAGGUUCCAUGAUCACUGCAGAUCCCAACUCUGGGCUGGAUCCCACAGUCCUGGGAUUAUGACCUGAGCUGGAAUUAAGAAACACUCAACCAUUUGAGUCACGCAGGUGCCCCAGUAAUACACUAUUUAAGUGAAAAGGAUUUACAUGCUGUUGCUACGCAAAGUGCCUGUGCCUCUUCUGGAAUUGCCAUUGGGUGGAGGGAAUCAUCUCUCUAAAAGGAAGCUGAUUUCAGUUCAGCUGCUUGGAUGUGGGUUUCAACACCAUGAUGAGUUAACUUCUGAAUAGGAAAUUUGGAAAUACAGUCUUUGUUCCAUCUUGAAAAAUUUAAUGAAAAUGUAUCUACCAGAUAUUAAAUUGUUUCCCUGCUGCAAA